UAAUGCCUUCAUAAUUUUCCCUGGGUACCACUCAGAGAUGCUUGGACACCUCAGGUUAGUGUCCCCAGAAGCAGCCUGAAAGUAGCUGGGCCACAAACUUUGUUACCAUGAGUUAAGCAGCUUUUGCCCCAGAGAGUAAAUCAGUGACCUGCUUCCUUUAUUGAGAAAGUCUUGCUGUGGAAAAAGUCAGCAGGACUAAAUAGCCCGCUGAGUGACAGUAACGUACAUUCCAGUGCGAGCUUCUUAUUCCCCUUCAUGGACAUCUAACCAAGCGUUUGCAGAGCAGCACAGGUCUGCAGGUGACAUUUUGAGCAGCACUUGUCUACAGAGCUUCAGUAGGCACAAUUGGCUUACUGUAGAAGGUUUACACCUGGGUGGAUUCAUGGUUGGAGUUUGGAAGAGAAUAAAGUCCCUGCCAUGAGCCUGGCGCCGUGCCAUGGCCUUCCCAUGUAACAGUGCUCAAAGGGUGCCCCUCCCACCACUGGGGCCUGCUGUUCUCGAGUCCUUGAGCAUUUGCCUCAUGUCCUUCCCACGUGCUCCAGCUCCUGUCCGGGCUGCAGAUCUCCCGUGCAUUGCCAUGUGUGAGCACGCACAGCCAGGGCUGCCCCUAGAAACAAGGAGAACCAGAGCCACUCAAUUAGAGGGGCCACCACAAUAACUGUACUGUUGGCAUCUUUCAUAGGCUCCUUAGGGUAUUGCUAAAAAGAGUAAUUUUACAAUUGAAUUUCAAUUAUUCUCAGAAAACAGGAAUAAGACCCCCACAUGAAAGAAGGAUUGUAAGGAUUUUUAAGCUGAAAGGUAAUAUGCUCAGGUCUGCAUUUUAGAAGGAGCAAACUAACUACUCUAUGGAGAAUAGAUCAGAGAGUUUGAGACCAGAGGUGAGGACUCCAGUGGGGACGUCAGGACUGGAGGUCCCAGGAAGGUCAGUGGUGGCAGUAGUAGGUGUGAAUUUUAGUCCCAAUUCUUCCACCUCCCUGCAUCCACACUCUGGCUAUAUGAGACUUUGGGCUUGGUCUUGUGACUUACUUUGAUCAAUGGAAUGGGGCAGAUGAGUCUUGAUACCAGGUCUGAGAGCUGAUGGUAAGAGACCUUACAUAUUUCUACUUUUCCUCUCAUGCAUCUGCCAUCACCAUGAGAAGAACCUGUCCAGCUUGGCCGUGGACCCUAGGAGGAUGAGGGACACGUACAGCAGAGAUGCCCACCAGCUUGCCAACCCCUGAGUGAGCCCAGCCAAGGUCAGU
rnacentral:lncRNA from 1 species